ensembl:snRNA U6 U6 spliceosomal RNA
GUGUUUGCUUCAGCUGUACAUAUACUAAAAUCGGAAUGAUACAGAGAAGAUGAGCAUGGCCCCUAAACAAGGAUGACAUAUAAAUUUGUGGAGCCUUCCAUAUUUUU